rnacentral:rRNA from 1 species
UUGGACAAUGGGCGAAAGCCUGAUCCAGCAACGCCGCGUGAGGGAUGACGGCCUUCGGGUUGUAAACCUCCUUCAGCAGGGACGAAGCGAAAGUGACGGUACCUGCAGAAGAAGGACCGGCCAACUACGUGCCAGCAGCCGCGGUAAUACGUAGGGUCCGAGCGUUGCCCGGAAUUAUUGGGCGUAAAGGGCUCGUAGGCGGUCAGUCACGUCGGGAGUGAAAACACGGGGCUUAACCCCGUGCCUGCUUCCGAUACGGGCUGACUAGAGGUAUGCAGGGGAGAACGGAAUUCCUGGUGUAGCGGUGAAAUGCGCAGAUAUCAGGAGGAACACCGGUGGCGAAGGCGGUUCUCUGGGCAUUACCUGACGCUGAGGAGCGAAAGUGUGGGGAGCGAACAGGAUUAGAUACCCUGGUAGUCCACACCGUAAACGUUGGGCGCUAGGUGUGGGACUCAUUCCACGAGUUCCGUGCCGCAGCUAACGCAUUAAGCGCCCCGCCUGGGGAGUACGGCCGCAAGGCUA